UAGAAGACAUCUGAAAGGGAUUAAAGAUUUAUCGGUGAUGGAUGGGGAUGCGUCUGAUUAGCUUGUUGGCGGGGUAACGGCCCACCAAGGCGACGAUCAGUAGGGGUUCUGAGAGGAAGGUCCCCCACAUUGGAACUGAGACACGGUCCAAACUCCUACGGGAGGCAGCAGUGAGGAAUAUUGGUCAAUGGGCGAGAGCCUGAACCAGCCAAGUAGCGUGCAGGAUGACGGCCCUAUGGGUUGUAAACUGCUUUUAUAAGGGAAUAAAGUGAGUCUCGUGAGACUUUUUGCAUGUACCUUAUGAAUAAGGACCGGCUAAUUCCGUGCCAGCAGCCGCGGUAAUACGGAAGGUCCGGGCGUUAUCCGGAUUUAUUGGGUUUAAAGGGAGCGUAGGCCGGAGAUUAAGCGUGUUGUGAAAUGUAGAUGCUCAACAUCUGCACUGCAGCGCGAACUGGUUUCCUUGAGUACGCACAAAGUGGGCGGAAUUCGUGGUGUAGCGGUGAAAUGCUUAGAUAUCACGAAGAACUCCGAUUGCGAAGGCAGCUCACUGGAGCGCAACUGACGCUGAAGCUCGAAAGUGCGGGUAUCGAACAGGAUUAGAUACCCUGGUAGUCCGCACGGUAAACGAUGGAUGCCCGCUGUUGGUCUGAAUAGGUCAGCGGCCAAGCGAAAGCAUUAAGCAUCCCACCUGGGGAGUA
rnacentral:rRNA from 1 species